rnacentral:piRNA from 1 species
UGCUACCCUAGUGUGUCACUUUUUUAAAC